GGAGGAAUGGUUCAGAUGGCACAGCACUUGUCUAGCAAAUGUAAGGCCCUGAGUUCAAACCUCAGUACCACCA
rnacentral:tRNA from 1 species